UCAAUAAACUGGAAGCAAAUAACAGAUUUCCUGCGAAGGGAAAGGCUGCAGCGGGACAUGUUGAGACAUGGCCCUAUUGGGUGUGGGGCAGGAUUUAGCUGGAAGAUGCACCCGAGGAAACCCCAAGGAGUUUUCUUCCUGUAGAGGUUUGAUGAAUAAAACAGGAAUUCACAACAUGUUUGACCUGACAUGGCUCUGCCUACUUCUGUGCAAGAAAAAAAAUUAAAAUAGAGAUGUUGCGACUCAGAAAUGCCACCCAGUCCCUUCAACAUCUCCUGCACCUGCAUUGGACCAGAUGCCAUCCAUCGCCCAACUGUAGGGCUGGUGGUGACAAAAUCAGCAAUUGCCAGGCAUCCUGCAGCAUCACCCCAAAAAUAAAUGCUGGCACAACGUAAGCCUGCGCUGGAGGAGCAGUGCGGGGCUCUGCACUGCCAAACCAUUUCAGCAGAUAUUUGUUUUGUUUUGUUUUGUUUUGUUUCCUUUUUCCCAUAAGAAAGCUUAAAACAAACACAAAAAAAAGGUAAAAAAUAAAAAAAUAAAAAUGCAUU